UUACUUACCUGGCAGGAGUGAUACCAUGAUCCAGGGUGAGGCUCUGCCAUUGCACUUCGGUGCUGCUGAUCCUUGUGAAUUCCCCAAAUGCGGGAAUUUCAACUGUAUAAUUUCUGGUAGUGGGGGGCUGCAUUCAUGCUCUCCCCUG
ensembl:snRNA U1 U1 spliceosomal RNA